UGGGGGAUAUUGCACAAUGGGCGAAAGCCUGAUGCAGCGACGCCGCGUGGGGGAUGAAGGCCUUCGGGUUGUAAACUUCUUUUGCUCUGAACAAGGCAUGCCUUUGGGGUGUGUUGAGUGUAGGGGUUGAUUAGCGCCGGCUAACUACGUGCCAGCAGCCGCGGUAAUACGUAGGGCGCGAGCGGUGUCCGGAAUUAUUGGGCGUAAAGGGCUUGUAGGUGGCUGGUUGCGUCUGUCGUGAAAGCUCAUGGCUUAACUGUGGGUUUGCGGUGGGUACGGGCGGGCUUGAGUGCAGGAGGGGGGGCUGGAAUUCCUGGUGUAGCGGUGGAAAGCGCAGAUAUCAGGAGGAAUACCGGUGGCGAAGGCGGGUCUCUGGGCUGUUACUGACGCUGAGGAGCGAAAGCGUGGGGAGCGAACAGG
rnacentral:rRNA from 1 species